UACAGAGGGUGCGAGCGUUAAUCGGAAUUACUGGGCGUAAAGCGUGCGCAGACGGCCCGGUAAGUCCGUUGUGAAAGUCAAAGGCUCAACCUUUGAAUGCCGAUGGAUACUGCCGGGCUAGAGUCCGGAAGAGGCGAGUGGAAUUCCUGGUGUAGCGGUGGAAUGCGCAGAUAUCAGGAGGAACACCGAUAGCGAAGGCAGCUCGCUGGGACGGUACUGACGCUGAGGCGCGAAAGCGUGGGGAGCGAACAGG
rnacentral:rRNA from 1 species